rnacentral:rRNA from 1 species
UAAGACAGAGGUGCCGAGCGUUAGGCGGAAUCACUGGGCUUAAAGCGUGUGUAGGCGGACCCGUCAGUGUCUUGUGAAAUCCCACGGCUCAACCGUGGAACGGCUGGGCAUACUGCGGGUCUUGAGACACCUAGGGGCGAGCGGAACAGGCGGUGGAGCGGUGAAAUGCGUAGAUAUCGCCUGGAACGCCGACGGUGAAAACAGCUCGCUGGGGGUGUUCUGACGCUGAGACACGAAAGCCAGGGGAGCGAACGGGAUUAGAUACCCCGGUAGUCCUGGCCCUAAACGAUGUCCACUAGGUCGCGGCCGGUUUUGACGCCGGUCGCGGCCGAAGCAAAAGUGCUAAGUGGACCGCCUGGGAAGUACGGUCGCAAGGCUA